UACGGAGGGUGCAAGCGUUAUCCGGAUUCACUGGGUUUAAAGGGUGCGUAGGCGGACAGGUAAGUCAGUGGUGAAAUCUCUGGGCUUAACCCAGAAACUGCCGUUGAUACUAUUUGUCUUGAAUAUCCUGGAGGUAGGCGGAAUAUGUCAUGUAGCGGUGAAAUGCUUAGAUAUGACAUAGAACACCGAUAGCGAAGGCAGCUCACAAAACUGUAACUGACGCUGAGGCACGAAAGCGUGGGGAUCGAACAGG
rnacentral:rRNA from 1 species